ACCGGUCCCGCGCAGGGAAAGACCGGUUCCCGAACGUUGGUUUUUCGGGUUCGUAACGAGAGACCGGUCCCUGCUGGGGAGAGACCGGUCCCUCUGGGCGAAAACUGCCCAGACCGGGCUGUUGCAAUUUUGAGUUUUUUAGGGGCCUCUCCGGAUUUUGUUACACUAGAUAGGCUUAUUAGCCAUUUCCCUCUCUUCCCUCCUCAUUUCCCACCCUCACCCUACACCUUCUAGAGAGAGAAGAAGAAGAAGGAGGAGAAGAAGAAGAGGAGCUUGCUUGAGGGAGCUUGGAGCUCAACCCCUUUCUCUCCUUUCCACCCUUGUAAGGCUUAGAGCUUGCUUGUAGAGCUUGGUGGUGGACCAAUCUUCAACCCUAGAAGAUUUGGAGCUUGUUUGGAGGCAUCUUGGAAGGUUAGUACUUGGAUUCUACCCUUGAAUCCUUGUUUUAGUAGAUUUUGCCUUUGGAACCCUAGAAUGGAAACUUAGGGUUUGAUUUGGGCGUUUUUGAUCUAGGGCUUUUGGGGCUAAAUUAGUUGGAUUAGAACCUUCCAUUUGGUUGGAUUGGAAGGGUUCUAGCUCUCUUUUGGAGCUUUGGAAGAGAUUUCUUCUCUUGAGGUGAGUUUUGGCCCUUUUUGCUUCUAGGUUAAUGUUUGAUCUUAUAGUUGAUCGUAAUGCCCGUGUAUCUCUUCGCUCAAUACUUUUAGGGUAUUUUGAGACUCGUGGACAACUCCGUUCGGCGAAUCG
rnacentral:lncRNA from 1 species